rnacentral:lncRNA from 1 species
CCUUAUAUGCUAUGCAAAUCUUCAGAAUUGGGAGUAUUGAUGCAGGCAAGAGACAUCAGCAAAGAUAAUGGCCACUUUCAUCUUCUUAAUAAAAGGUAUUCACAUGGGGGGAGAAAGAAGGGAAGGGUAGGAAGGUAAGGACAGUUGUGGGAUGAAUUUUCCGUACACAGUGGAAAUCCUUGUUUUCUGACUCCGGAGCCCCUUUGACGCUCGGGAAGAUGCCCAGUGGAAAAGUACACCCCGGGACAAUCAGCUUUCCUUGGCCACGCAAGUUACCUGUGCGCCCAGAGAGGCAGCGGAUUUCACCGGAUGAUUAAAACCCAGGGGGAAUUCAAAGUUCACCCAAACGCGUCUGUAUAACGUACCUUGUUCAGCUCCUGCUCAUAGACUCGUCCUCCGCCUGUCUGUGUGGUCCCGGAGGGUCGUGGAAGGAAGUUUCCAAAAUUGAGGCGGGUCAAGACUCAGCAGAGUCUAGCAAGAGCAGAAUGAAGAAGUCUUUGGCUGGUUCAAGUCCCCCGUUCAAUGGGCUGCUCGAAGCCAGGACUGGGUGUGUAUCAGAAAAAAAAAAAAAGAGUGGAAAGCAUCAGAAAAGCAAGGCUUAUCUGAAAAUAAAAUUGUUUUGGGGUGAGCCAAAAGCCAAGGCCUGAUGUUCAAUGAAAUACUCAAAGGUGGGACAGAAGUAGGUGGAGGGGUGUAAAACCCUCAACCCCUAAACAAAGCAAUAGAAUCUCCAGACUGCAGGCCUUGACUCAUGAAGCUGAGACACUCAGGAUGACCUUGUUGUCAUUUAGCACUACACUCACAGGUGGCAGGACCUGGGCCAAGAGAGCAUUACGUGUCUUCCUUAUCUCUCUGGAAAUCUAAGCUGCCCAGAUGAUCGUCUUCCGAGAAGGAAUUUGUAGUUCUGUAUCUUUAAGAGCAUCCCUCUUGUUUCUCAGUCUGCAAAACAGGAGGAGGCUUAAUACAGUGCUCUAUACUGCAGCACCAUUCUGUGCAUGAGGAUGCGGGUUGAAAAAGAAGGAAGAAUGAGAGGACCAGUCGUCACAAGCUCCUGUGUCCAAGUCUUCCCAGCCAUGAUGGGGAUACCCUCGGACGGUGAACCAAGAUAAAUAAACCCCUUCUUUCCUGACGUCCUCCUAUCAGGGUGUUUCAUCACAGCAAUGUGACAAUAAAUCCCAAGCCACUCUCAAUAAAUCACUCUCAUGCCACAUCUUCUAAUGGAAGAGUCUACCCUUCUUAAGAAUAACCUCUUUUGUUAUUUCAGUUUCCCAUAUCAUUUUUCUUCCUUUGCUUUCCUGCUCAAAAUUAAUCUGUGUCAUCUCUUCUACUGCCUGUCGGCUGCUACUGUGGGGAGGAGAGGAUAAAAUUCACCCAGAUGUGAGCAUCAGAAAUGGAAAGCCAAGUGAUAGGGCUUGACUGAUGUCACCAAAUGGCCAAUGAAGAGUCAGUCUUCUGGCUCCUUCUCCUUGAUACUACCUGACACCUCCCCUGCCCUCAUUUGCUUUCUGAGCAAUAUUUUAUCCUCCAUUAUCAACUUCUACCCAUCCUCCCACUGUGGCUUUGCUGCUCAUAGAAGGAAAUGCAAGCAGAGCUGUCCAGUUCCUGUUUCAUAAGUGCUGACAACAGAU